CUCCAACAGUGGCAAGCUACCAGUCAUUACGCAGGAUAAAUAUUGUGACCUUCCUUUAAAGAAGGCCAAUCAGACGUCUCCAGCGCCCGGCGGCCCUCACUGGGUGAGCCGUCUACUCCCUGACAGAGGAAGAGCGUUCACAUGUGGAUGUUAACGUAGUGGGAAAGAAUCUCAUGGUUCAUCUGUGGAUCUGUGCGUGUGUGUGUGCGUGUGUGUGCGUGUGUGUGUGUCUGUGUUAGUGUGCGUUUGUGUUGGGGGGGGUCCUGGAUUGAACACUAUGGCUUCACGUCUUCAUACGUAGAGAUACAUUUUGGCGAAACACGCUUUCAUCUCAAGGAGGCAGAAUCCAUAAUAUGGACCUUAUUGUCAUCGAGGGGGGGUCUUCUGUGAAGUCAGUUGUGUAGUGUUUGGUGAAGGGGAAAAGGUGAAGGUGCAAGAGCUACAGGGAGAAUCCUGACGGUCCUGAAGCCAGGAGGCCUCCCCAGGCUGGGACCCCCGCCGGAGAGGGAGAGUCCCGUCCUGCUCUCCCGCGAUUCUACUCCUGACCUACCACCGCUCCGGCCUGCUCUCUGAUCCCUGCCUGUCUGACUAUUCUGCCGGUUCCUGAUCCCCGCCUGUCUGACUACUCUCCCGGUUCCUGAUCCCCGCCUGUCUGACUCCUCUGCCGGUUCCUGAUCCCCGCCUGUCUGACUACUCUCCCGGUUCCUGAUCCCCGCCUGUCUGACUAUUCUGCCGGUUCCUGAUUCCUGCCUGUCUGACUAUCCUGCUUGCCGAUCUAGAACCCAAAUAAACUAUUGACUCUGUUGAGUCUGUGCACGGGCUUGUUACAGAAACAUUAUCCCAGACAACAACAAACCUGGGCUGCUCUGGUCUGUCCUGGGGGGGGGGAC
ensembl:lncRNA